AUGAAAGCGAGAUUUCGUAAGCAUGCUGGUGAGGUGAAUAGUGCUCAUUGUGAAGCCGAAGAGAAAUAUAAUUUGUUCAUCAAACCUAAAGCAUCAAUCCGUGAGGCCAUUUCCUCACGGACCACACAGUACAAGGCUGAGUAUCUAGCUCGAUUAAAAUGGUCACUUGAGUGCAUAAAAUUUAUUUUGCAUCAGGGGUUGGCUUUUAGUGGUCAUGAUGAGGGAAAGGAUUCUAAAAAUAAAGGAAAUUUCCGAGAACUUUUGCAAUGGCUGGCAGGCAACUUUGAAGAAGUUAAUAAGGUUGUUUUAGGAAAUGCUCCACAAAAUUGUCAGAUGAUAGAUCACAAGAUUCAAAAACAGCUUAUUAGUUCUUGUGCUCAUGAAACAACAAAAUUUGUCAUAGAGGAACUUGGUGAUGAGUGUUUCGCAAUUCUUGCUGAUGAAUCUAGUGAUGCAUACCAACAAGAACAGUUAGCUCUUUGCUUGCGAUUUGUCAAUAAAAUAGGGGAGCCGGUUGAAAGGUUUCUUGGUCUUGCUCAAGUUGAGGAUACUACAUCAUUGACUCUUAAAGAAGCAAUUCAGACCUUGCUUAUGAAGUAUCAACUGCCGAUAUCCAAGGUACGUGGGCAAGGGUAUGACGGUGCGAGUAACAUGAAGGGUCAUGUUAAUGGUUUGAAGAAACUAAUCAUGGAAGAUUCUCCUUCUGCUUAUUAUGUUCAUUGCUUCGCCCAUCAGCUUCAACUAACCCUUGUAGCUGUUGCUAAGGAGAAUAUUGAUUGCAAAUGGUUCUUUGGGCACCUUGCAUAUUUGUUGAAUGUUCUUGGGAUGUCAUGUAAAAAGAUCCGCAUGCUUCGCGUAGCUCAAGCUGAGUAUAUGAUUGAAGCAUUGAAACUAGGUGAAAUUGAAGCUAGCCAAGGUUUGAGUCAAGAGAUGGGCCUAGCAAGGCCCGGGGGAUCUCACUACAAAACGGUAAUGCAUGUUAUGUCUUUGUAUCCUUCAAUCAGGAAAGUUCUCUUUAGGCUUGGGAAAGAAAGUAAUUCAGCAGAGGCUUUAGGAGCUCAAACUAUGUUGGAAGUAUUUAAAUCAUUUGAGUUUGUUUUCAUGUUGCACUUGAUGAAUGAAAUAUUUGGGUACACAAGUGACUUAAGUAACGCUUUGCAAAAGAGGGAUCAAGAUAUUGUGAAUGCAGUUGAUCUUCUCGAGUUCACAAAGGUACAACUGCAAGUUCUAAGAGAAGAUGAUGGAUGGAAAGACUUCCUUGAGAAUGUCACUUCUUUUUAUGUGAAGCACAAUGUCAUAUGUGUUGACAUGGAUGGGAAGUACAAGCCUAUACAAAGAGCAAGAGCGUUCUAUAAAAAUGCCAUGAAUUACCACCGGUUCCAUGCUGAUAUGUUGUUGGGUGUCAUUGAUAGGCAACUUCAAGAGCUUAAUAACAGGUUUGAUGAGGUAAACACGGAGCUACUUAGAUGCAUGGCAUCAUUCAGUCCAGCCAAGUCAUUUUCUUAUUUUAAUAUUGAUGACUUGGUUAAGCUUGCUGGGUUCUAUCCUCAUGAUUUUGACUUUGAAGAAAUGCACCAACUUCCUUUUCAAUUGAAUCUCUAUAUUACUGAUGUGAGGAAUGAUGAAAACUUCACAAACUUGAGAAGUCUAGCAGAGUUGUCUAUGAUACUUGUUAAAACAGGGAGGGCUCUUCGGUAUGAUAUUGUUUACAAACUUCUCAAAUUGGUGCUAGUCCUUCCUGUUGCAACAGCCGGUGUUGAGAGGGUCUUUUCAUCAAUGAACUAUAUAAAAAACAAGCUAAGAAGCAAGAUGGGGCAAAAAUACUUGAGUGGUUGCUUGGUCACAUUCAUUGAAAGGGAUUUCUUCUUGCAAGUUAAGGAUGAGGACAUUAUCACACAUUUUCAAAGCAUCAAGGAUCGCAAAGUUAUCCUGUGA
rnacentral:rRNA from 1 species